rfam:Echinostoma caproni strain Egypt genome assembly, scaffold: ECPE_scaffold0004184
GGCCUCGUAGCUCAGCUGAUAGAGCAUGCGCGUACAAAGCAUAGGCGGCGUCCAUGCGUGGGUUCGAAUCCCACCUAGGCUA